rnacentral:rRNA from 1 species
CCUACCAAGGCGAUGAUGCAUAGCCGAGUUGAGAGACUGAUCGGCCACAAUGGGACUGAGACACGGCCCAUACUCCUACGGGAGGCAGCAGUAGGGAAUCUUCCACAAUGGGCGCAAGCCUGAUGGAGCAACACCGCGUGAGUGAAGAAGGGUUUCGGCUCGUAAAGCUCUGUUGUUAAAGAAGAACACGUAUGAGAGUAACUGUUCAUACGUUGACGGUAUUUAACCAGAAAGUCACGGCUAACUACGUGCCAGCAGCCGCGGUAAUACGUAGGUGGCAAGCGUUAUCCGGAUUUAUUGGGCGUAAAGAGAGUGCAGGCGGUUUUCUAAGUCUGAUGUGAAAGCCUUCGGCUUAACCGGAGAAGUGCAUCGGAAACUGGAUAACUUGAGUGCAGAAGAGGGUAGUGGAACUCCAUGUGUAGCGGUGGAAUGCGUAGAUAUAUGGAAGAACACCAGUGGCGAAGGCGGCUACCUGGUCUGCAACUGACGCUGAGACUCGAAAGCAUGGGUAGCGAACAGGAUUAGAUACCCUGGUAGUCCAUGCCGUAAACGAUGAGUGCUAGGUGUUGGAGGGUUUCCGCCCUUCAGUGCCGGAGCUAACGCAUUAAGCACUCCGCCUGGGGAGUACGACCGCAAGGUUGAAACUCAAAGGAAUUGACGGGGGCCCGCACAAGCGGUGGAGCAUGUGGUUUAAUUCGAAGCUACGCGAAGAACCUUACCAGGUCUUGACAUCUUGCGCCAACCCUAGAGAUAGGGCGUUUCCUUCGGGAACGCAAUGACAGGUGG